UACAGAGGUCUCAAGCGUUGUUCGGAUUCACUGGGCGUAAAGGGUGCGUAGGUGGCGAGGUAAGUCGGAUGUGAAAUCUCGGAGCUCAACUCCGAAACUGCAUUGGAAACUACCUUGCUCGAGGGUUGGAGGGGGGACUGGAAUUCUCGGUGUAGCAGUGAAAUGCGUAGAUAUCGGGAGGAACACCUGUGGCGAAAGCGGCGCACUGGACCACAACUGACGCUGAGGCGCGAAAGCUAGGGGAGCAAACAGG
rnacentral:rRNA from 1 species